rnacentral:lncRNA from 1 species
UUCAUCUAAAAAUACUUUAACUCUUUUACAUGUGCACAAUCAAUCCUCAAUCAUGAGCUAUAAAAGUACCUGGAUACUUGAAAAAAAAAUAUAGGUGGAUGAUUAGCAUAUGCACAACAGAGAUCAACAACAAACAAUUAAUCUCCAAUAAACCAGGAAGUAUUUCAGGACUUGAAAAUUUCAGAACUCAGUAAAGAGAUCAAUGAAACAGUAGUCAUUUGGUCAUCUGAAGUUUUUAUUUUUAUUUUUUGGCUCUCAAGUCUUAAAACCAAGUCAUCUCAGCCCUCAGAUAAGUCAGAAUUCACUUCAGAGUUUAGAAAUCUAAGAAUUCUUCAAGGAAACUCAAUGACACAGUAAUUUUCAGUUGUUUUUGUGUUUUUUUUUCUUCUUUUUCUCUAUUUUUGUUCCCCACCCCCGACCCCCUUUCAGCUUAAGUUUCAUGCCUUUUAUAGGGUGAAUAUUAUGGCAAUCCUCAGAAAUUCACUUUGCCCUUUGGUUCCUUAUUUUAUGACUUGCUAACCAAGAUAUAGCCUAAAAUUUUGUAGGAAACCCCUACUAGAAGUUCCAAAGGGCUUCUUUUAGUGGUUACUUCAAGAUUCCUUGUCCUAAAUUGCCCAAAUUAUCCCCCUAUACCCCUGAGAUUUACUUCAAAAUAAAAAAUACUAAGAUGGAUAUGGGUAAUGAAUCCAAUGGAUACAAUGGUUCAAAUUAUCAUGGGCCUUAAGUCAGACCAGGCCGAACCUUUUGGGAGUGGGGUCUGUACUAACCUCACAACAGAAAUUAGGAGUUCCAAUCAGCUAAACAUGUACACUAAUUGACUUUUUAGUUACGAUAAAGGAACUAAUUAAGCUUUAAAACUAAACCUAAAUGUAUUAAACUAGGUGACCAUAACAGGAGGUGAAAUUAACGACUAAACACGCCAUUAACUAAGUAAAAAGAGAAUCAAAGAAAAUACAUCAAGACGAAGGGUUCUGGGUUCAGAAUUUUUGGCCUAGUCUUAAUUUGAGAUAGACCUUUGACCA